GGCCCUGUGGUCUAGUGGUAUGAUUCCUGCUUAGGGUGCAGGAGGUCCCGAUUUCGAUCAUCGGCAGGGCCC
rnacentral:tRNA from 1 species